UGGAGCUUACAUUUUAAAUUAGAAAAGCUAACCUGGUAGGAUAAAAAUGCCCAUUUAUUCUGUUAGAAUAGUUUCAGUAGUGCUCAGUAUAAAUCCAUAUAUUUCCCUAUUCCAAUUAUAUUUUAUAUGAUUAAAAGAAUGUUGAACUUUUAUGACUGUUUUAGUACAUUAAAUAUACUUAGAGCUUAAGUAUGGGAUGUGGUGAGAGUUUUUUUUGUCAGAAGCUCUUUUUGUAAUAAAUGUAGUAAGUGAAAGAAUUGGAAACCAUACAAAUGAGAUUUAAAAAUUAAAUAGUUUAUAGUUCCUCAAUAUUCUUUCAGUUACCCUACCUUUUCCAUACCCCCUUCCUCCUCUCCUGGAGUGGGGUCCAUGGAUCCCCUCCAACCCAUUAGUCACAGAACUGGGCUGAACCAGCCCAAAAACCUUGACAAGAAAACAAGAAGAUUACUUGGCUUUGUAUUUUUUCACCUUGUUGUAUUUCUGUUUCAUUUGUUCGUGCACUGAGGUAGUUAUUCCACAAUUGUUCUCUAAUAUUGCAACAGAAUUACAAAAAGGAGUACAGAUGUUAAAGAAAGAAAUCUAAAAUCUGAUUGUAGCAGACCCCUUAUGCAGAGUUGAUAGCUGGUGAAAGCAGGUGCUAGGGUGAAGAGAAGAGAAGCAUGCAGAUCCUUGCCAGCACACAACAUAGAGCCAUUGCUAGGUGAUCUCAGGAAACCAUCUUCAAGUUUUCAAAUAGAUAACCUCUAUUGGUGCAAGGGAAAAUAGCAAUGCAGGCUGUUUCUUCACCAGGUUUAUUUGCAAAGUAUGAAGAAAUCCUGUUGGUUGUGUGGGUGGAAGAAAGAUUUUUUUUUUUCCCCCUGUGCUUUGAUUAUUUAUGUGAUACAGUUAUCCCCACAUUGUGCAAAAUAGCAGAGACCUGAUUUUAAUCUUAUUAGGUUUACUAUGUAUCAAUCUGCUUCAUGCAUGGCUUAGCAAUAGCUUGAUGCUAGCAUAGCCUUGGCAACAAGUCUAAUUUAGUUCCAAACUUUUUUUUCUCCUUUCUUUCUCCUGUACUGCUUACUGACAUUCUCCAAAAUGAAAAUAUCAGUAUAAUAUAUAAAAUAUAAUUUUGCUGCAUCAGUUUACUGAUCUCAUGAAGAACACAUGUGAUGGCAUAACAGAAGAACAUUCAACAGUGCUGUACAAGUAGGUAAUUUCUGAGUUUCAUGGCAGUGUCUAGCAUACUAGGGAGCUAUGGCCUAACGCUAUGGUAUUACAAUUUGUCAUUGUUCAGCAACUGGCCUAAUAUUAAAUACGCCUCCACAUAAUGUUUCCAGUGCCCUUGCAAUACAAGAUUAAUUUUUAUCAUGUUAUGAAAACAAGGAUUUUGAAGCAAAUUCAUGUGUCCUUGGUAAGGAACAGCUGUGAUUGCAGCUAGAUUUUAGCACUGAGACUUUAAACAUCGUGUAUCUGUACUUCCAAGUUAAGUGACAGAUUUCAUCUUCAAAGAUUAAAAAAGGAAGUACAAAAGUACGAUGUCAGAGAAAAUGAAAAAAAAAAUUAGAGGAAAUUGCAGAAAAUAGUAAUUAAAAGACAAAUUUAAAAACUCUUUUCUAAAUGAGACCUGAAAAUACAGGAGAUAUAUUUGUUUCUGUGGAUGUUUAGAUGUAGGUCAUUGGGUUAAUGUAGGUCACUCUAGAAGUAAUGCUUCCUAUUUAUUUCCACGGAAAUAGAUACAAAGAGCAAAUUCUCAGCUAGAACACAGUUUUUUAUCAUAAUCACCGCCAUCAGCUAAGCCUUGUUGCCAGCAAUGAGGAAGAGCCUGGAUGCUGCACUUGUAAAAAUCUGCACAGUGGAGCUGACCUACCAUUGCCACCACUGAAAUGCACACCCAUCACCUCACUGUGCUGACAUCUGCUGUUGGGUCUCCAUCAACACUCAGCAAGUGUCAAUGUAUGUCACUGGGUGCAAAUUUAUUUAAUAUGGAGAAAUUCACUUAUGUACCUUUUGCUUCGUACACACUUCCAUGUCAGACACCAUUUUGUCAGACUGCCCCUCUGCUGCCAUCUGUCACAUGGCAACAAAAGGUAAUGGAAUGCUGGUGGGAAGGUUCAAUCUCUAUUGCAUCUCUGAUGUGUUGAGUCAACAUAAUAAAAAAUAGGAGGCAUUGCAAUCAGAGCAGCCCUCGUAUAUCUCUGCAAUUCCAAGGGAGAAAAUGGUGUAGUAAGUUGUAGAAUGAAAGAAAUGGCAGUAUACAAUGAAAAAUAAUUAUUCAGUCUCUUCUCAGUCAAGUUGAAAAAUACCAUUUUAUAAAAAUAUUAGAGGCUUAAAUUGUAUUUUCACCUUCAUCCUGUUAUCUUGCUUAAACAGCUCUUGCUGUUUUAAUCUGCAGUCAAGACUGGAGCUAUUAGUACCCUGAGUGUAAUUAUACCUUCUAUGUAUUAGUAGAGGAAAGGGAGAAACUAUAGAAUACUGAGUGUUCACAUUUCUAUGCUACAUAGUCAAAAAAUAAGCUGUACACUUCAGCAACUAUUAGAUACCACCCUCUCUCCUCCUCCAACAAUUAAUGCAAAAGAUUGACAUCUAUUGAAAAAAAAAACCGUAGUUUGAGACUAGAGUUCAGCUGCAUGCUGAUUCUUGAUGGUUGUAAAGAGGUCCUUUAAUGAAUUCCCUUUGAGCUGGUAGUUAAAUAAAAGUUGGAUGGAGGUUAAAAGGAAUUUGUUCAGUUUACUCCUGAGUAAAAAGCAGCAAUGCAGCUUUUCAAAAAUAUUACCAAUGCUAUUCCGCUCAAGAGAAAAUUUAGCACAGAAAGACCACAGUGAAUCAAAGAAAUGUCACCCUCAGGGAAUACAAAAGCCAUUCUGUGCUCAAAUCAUACAAUUUCUUCCUCAAAACAUGAAUAUUUAAAAUAGAAAAGUGCAUUGGCAGAAACACUGUGAAUAAGUGAAGAGAGCACUGUAAGAAAUCAAUUUUUUUUAGAAGUACCCUUACUUAAAGAAAAAUUCUACAAAGUCAAUUUUGGGAGCCUGACUGAUAGUACUGGAGCUUAGUUCUGCCUAAAUAACGAUUGCAAAUCGCCAUCCUAAAGUGUAUAUCCUCUCAAGAUGCAAAUCAGUGCUCAUCCCAUGAGAUCCACUUCACUGACUGGUCUUCCACCAGACACAAUUUGAAAAAACAGUGUUUUUUUAGUAAUGAAAUAUGCAGAGAUGUUCUUGUAUCAUUGCCAUUUCUGGAGAGAGAAUGAUUAAAGCCCUUCCUGUAAACCAUUUCUCAGGGAUAAAGGACUACAAGGAGUGCUGGCACUUUUCUAGAAGCUUCUUAAAGCUGAGUAGCAUAAGGUAGACACAUACAAUUGAACUGUAGAUGUAUUCUUCCAUGUUACAUAGAAAAAUCAUGGCCCAAGACACUUUCUUUACUUUCUAAAUCUAAUCUAGAAUUUCUUCUAGAUUAACAAAUUAUUUGAAAAUGUUUAGCUUUAUGGCUUUGAAUUAUGUUGGAUGAACUUUGACAUUGAAAACCAAACACAAUCUUUUGUUGUGCAUUUAAAUAUUGACUUCUUUACAAACACACAGUUUUUGCCUAUCAUAAGUAAAUGCACUUUGAUGAUUCUACCAUGUACUCAAAAUGGCAAAAAUUAACACCUUAUGUCCUGGGAAGCAAAAGAUAAUGGACAGGUUAUGGGGAUAGAGGCAGCAGAGGUUUUGUUCAAUUCUAUACAGUGUAUGUAUUUCAUAAUGUACAGAUUAAAAGGUAGUGACAUAGUUACUGUUGCACGGAAUAGAUUAUUAUUACAUCAGCAUAGCAGUUCUGAGAGUCCACAAUGUACAUUGAUUCCGUAGUUUAUAUUGAAAAGUAUUACAAAUGGCAUCUGACAUGGAAGUGCACAUGAAGCAAAGAGUCGAAUGGCAGAAAGUUUGCGUCUCUUUGAUUCCAUCUGCAACAACAACUGGUUUAUCAACACUUCCCUCAUCCUUUUUUUG